CAUGCAUGAGAAUCUUCAUGGUUGAGGAAUCCACGGGUAAUCUAUCAGUACCCACGUAGAAUCUUGCUGUGACUUCGUAAGUCUUGCUUAUGAUGUACUUUAUUCGAACUCUAACCUUAGUUAUGACAGUCAUUGGCGGUUUUAUGAAUAUCAGUUCUCUUAUUUUGGCUCCAGAAAUCACUAUUUAUUUUCUCUUCGCCUGCUCGUCUCCAACUCCAUCCAAGCCUCCGCGUCUCCGGCUCGCGGAGUCCAUGCCCAGGGACUCCUCUGUCGGCCAGCGUGCUCAAGCAAGGAUGCACCCACAUGUCAUAGCCAGUUUUAACCCCUCUAACCAAAGGAUUCUCUCUGCUAAUAGUGGAUGACAUAGGGGAAAAAUUCUCUGGUUCAAAAGGGCAUGACCAGUACAAUCAAAGUUCUGACAUUGAGUGGAAAGCAUGUUGCAGACUGACAGGUGUGUGAACAUCCAACUGGAGUAUAGUGCAUUAGCAGCAGAGAUGACUAACUUUGAAAGUUGAUGAGCAAGUUACCUGAGCGAUGGAUGCUGAGAUACAUACAUUUAACAUCCAACCAACCCAAAUAUCUUCCACCGACUCUUUUCAAAGUCAUGAGAAUAGAAUUUACCUGAUAUGCAUUCCGUAGAUAAUAGUUCUUAUGAACCCUCACCUAAAAUGUGGCCAAAAUGGAACUUCGGAAAAUUUCGGAAUGGAAAAGCGAUGUUUUAUAAUCAGUCGAUGAGCAUCUUCACAAUUGUCAGAAUGUUAAAUGAACGGUUUACAAACCUUUACAAGGAACUUUCUCCUGAAUGAAGCAAAGAACAGCUACAUGUAUAAUUAGGAAGAGACCUGAACAUUAAAAAAAAUGUUAUUCUUGUUUUGGUGGCAGUGACUUAAUAAUGACAGCAGGUGGCAUUCUUUCAUUCGGUGUCACCUAUCAUAUAUGAUGGUUUAAGAACCAUACCUUUCAUGAUAACAAUGCUCCAGCAAAUAAGAGGAGAUAGUUUGAACUUGAGUGUCGGCUCUCAGAGGGAUCCAAGCACCCAGGAGGAUCUCCAAACACGUUUAGCGUGUAUUCAAGAACAACAAGAGGACAUUGGCAAGAGCAACAUUGCAAAGCAUUUACAGUCACUCUUUGUACUAAUUGUUGGGAAAAGAGUAUUCAACAGAUGCCAAGGACAUCACAUGAAUUCCCUAGCAGCUGAAAAGAGCUUCCAUUGUCAAACCUAAUAUCAUUUUCACAUAUGAGGAGAUGCUUUGGACAGUUGAACUUGAGAUUCAGCUCACAGAGGGAUGCAAGCACCAGGGAGGCUCAGAAGGCAUAUUUGGAGAGUAUUCAAGAGCAAUGAGAACAGAAGCAAGAGCAGCGCUUCAAAGCACCCACCGACGCUCUUUUUCAACGGAUGACGAGGACAUCUCAUGAAUUCCCUGGCAGCUGGAAAUAGCAUCCAUCAUCGGAUCUGAUAUCAUUUCCACAAAGAGGAUCAGGACCCUAGGAGGUUUGGAUGUGAUUGGGAGUUAUUUGUUUGUCAAGUCUGUGUACAUUUUUCAAGUGCUAUACAAUAUUUUGAGGUUCAGUGGCGUAUCCAAUAUACAAAUUAUGAGUGCUGUGAAAGAUGAAAUAAUGAUCCAUUCAUUUCGGCUAUGCCUCGUUGAAUGGAUUGUUUCAUCAUUCACCACAUG
rnacentral:lncRNA from 1 species